AGAGUUUGAUCCUGGCUCAGAACGAACGCUGGCGGCGUGGAUUAGGCAUGCAAGUCGAACGGGAUUUGCUUGGUUCAAGUUUUCGGACGAGAACCUUGCAAUGAGAGUGGCGGAAGGGUGAGUAACACGUGGGUAACUUGCCCUCAAGUGCGGGAUAGCCCCCCGAAAGGGAGGAUAAUACCGCAUGUGGUCGUCUCCCGCAUGGGAGACUUUCUAAAGGUGGGGAUCUUCGGACCUGCCGCUUGAGGAUAGGCCCGCGUCCCAUCAGCUUGUUGGUGAGGUAACGGCCCACCAAGGCUUACGGGUAGCUGGUCUGAGAGGAUGGUCAGCCACACUGGGACUGAGACACUGCCCAGACUCCUACGGGAGGCUGCAGUCGAGAAUCAUUCGCAAUGCGCGAAAGCGUGACGAUGCGACGCCGCGUGCAGGACGACGGCCUUCGGGUUGUAAACUGCUGUCAUGAGGGAGUAACGAGGACCGGGUGAAUAGCCCGGACCUGUGAGAGUACCUCAGGAGGAAGCCACGGCUAACUCUGUGCCAGCAGCCGCGGUAAUACAGAGGUGGCAAGCGUUGUUCGGAUUUACUGGGCGUAAAGGGUGCGUAGGCGGUUCCGUGUGUCAGAUGUGAAAGCCCACUGUUCAUCGGUGGAAUUGCAUUUGAAACUGCGGGGCUUGAGUUCGGGAUGGGAGAGCGGAAUUCCUGGUGUAGCGGUGAAAUGCGUAGAUAUCAGGAGGAACGCCGGUGGCGAAGGCGGCUCUCUGGAACGACACUGACGCUGAGGCAAAAGCUAGGGGAGCAAACAGGAUUAGAUACCCUGGUAGUCCUAGCUGUAAACGUUGUGUACUUGGUGUGGGAGGAUUUAGCCCCUUCCGUGCCGGAGCUAACGCGUUAAGUACACCGCCUGGGGAGUACGGUCGCAAGGCUAAAACUCAAAGGAAUUGACGGGGGCCCGCACAAGCGGUGGAGCAUGUGGCUUAAUUCGAUGCAACGCGAAGAACCUUACCUGGGUUUGACAUGUGACUGCACGCUGGCCGAAAGGCCGGAAGCCUUCGAGGGUGUCACACAGGUGCUGCAUGGCUGUCGUCAGCUCGUGCCGUGAGGUGUUGGGUUAAGUCCCGCAACGAGCGCAACCCUUAUAUUUAGUUGCCAGUCCGCAAGGGCGCACUCUAAAUAGACUGCCUGUGAUAAGCAGGAGGAAGGUGGGGAUGACGUCAAGUCAGUAUGGUCCUUAUAUCCAGGGCUGCACACGUGCUACAAUGGCCGGUACAAAGGGAAGCAAGACCGCGAGGUGGAGCCAAUCCUCAGAGCCGGCCCCAGUUCGGAUUGAAGUCUGCAACUCGGCUUCAUGAAGUCGAGUUGCGGACUUCAAUCC
rnacentral:rRNA from 1 species